rnacentral:misc_RNA from 1 species
CUGUUGUACGAGCACACACGCACGCAUAGAAGAGUACACGCUCACCCCCUCCCCACUCUUCCAACAAUAUUCCGGGCGCCCCACUAUGGCAGAUGCAGCGGGAGGAGAGCCGCAGGCUCUCAAGAAGCACCGCUGGGAGGACCCGACGGGCUUUGGCGGCGGCGACAGUGGUGGCGCGAUGCCCACGUCGACGCGCUGGAGCUCGGCCACACCGCGGCAGUAUGGCGCCGACACCCCGCGCCGCACACCGGUCCUGUCCAGUGAGACGUCCUCCUGGCGCGGCAUGGCGACGCCAAACGCGACGCCGUACAUGACGGACUUCAUUCCGACACCGACCUUCGGCGCCAGCGGCAGCAGCGGCAUGGGCGGCAGCACGCCUUCCACGUUCGGCACUCCUCGCAUGGGCAGCAGCGGCGUCACAGCUGGCGGCGGCACGCCCCUCUUCGCCAGCGGCAGUACCCCGCGCAUGGGCGGGGUCACCCCUAUGUUCACCGGCGCGACCCCGGCCGCCGGGGCAACCUUCGGCGCCACCCCGAACUACCAGUACGAGGGCGGGACACCGCUGCAGUCGCACUUCGCCUCCUCCGUCGAGACGCAGUCCAUCACGACGGCGGCCAUCGAAGCCAAGGCGAAGGCGUUGGAGAAGGAGUGGAACCGCAAGAACAAGCGGCUCACAAGCGAGUACCUGGACAGCAUCUUGCCCAGAGAGUUCUUCACGGUGGCGGCGGUGCCAGCUGACUACAACCCGCUGCCGCCGGAGGAACCGAACUUCUACGAAAUCGCCGUGCGCACCAUGGACGUGUUUUCGAUGCAGGCCGGCGCAGCGGCGGCAGUGACGGCCGGCCUGGACGCGAACGGGCAGCCCAUCAAGUACGACAUCCCGGAGGACAUGGGUGACGGCAUGCCCACCAUGAAGGUCGAGGACGCCGCCGUGUUCGUCGAGCUGCUCAAGUACCACAAGGCAGAGAAGAUCCCUGAUGAGCAUCUGCCUUCCUACCUCCUUAUGAAGAACCUCUUCAAGAUCAAGAACGGCGACACGAUGCAGCGCCGCGCCGGCACGCGCUACCUCCUCGACAAGGCAACGAUCUUUGGCAGCCACUUUAUCUUCCAGCGCCUCAGCUACAUCUGGAGCUCGGAUAUCCUCAACAUUGAGGAGAAGCACUACUUCAUCGACUUCAUCAAGUCGCUGCUGCAGCAGAUGGGCAAAGGCGCUCGGCAGUUCACCAAGGAGGUGAUUCACCUGGUGGAGCCGCUGCUUACGGCGCACGAGCGCAUUCUGCGGGACGACGGCAAGCAGGUGCUCACCUUGCUGACACGGGUUGUGGGGUUUCAGGCGGUGUUUGCGGUGAUUCGCGAGGACUUUGGCCACGCCGAGAGCAUUGUGCGUCGUCACACGGCUCGUGUCAUGGCAGUGGUCGGGUAUGCGGCUGGCACCGAGGAAGUGACGGCGGCGCUGCGUGACAUGUCCUACGCCCCGUCGGCGCUUGCUCGCCAGACGGUCGUGCGCUCGAUGGCGGAGCUGGCGAAGAUGGUGGGGCACGCGUUGAUAGCGGCGCUGCCGGAGAUGGUGGCAAUGCUGGAGCGUCUGCUGCGCGACGAGAAGCGCGUGCAGCGGGAUGCGGCCCUGGCGGUGGCGGCGAUUGCCGAGGCGACGGCGCCGGACGGCAUUGAGGAGCUGGCACCGCUGGUCGACGUCAUCUGCGAGGAGUGCAUGAAGGGGAUCGGCAGCAUGGCGUCGCCCUUCAUCCAAGCCUUCGGUGCCUUGGUUCCGCUUAUGUCCCCCUACGACGCGCAGGCUCGCACGGCGGCGAUGAUGCCCAAUCUCGUCAACCAGUUCAGCACACCGGAGGACGAGUUCCGCCGCGUUCUCAUAUCUGUCGUGCGCAAGUGCGUGUUGGCGGAGGGCGUGACGCCGCAGUUCAUUCGGCAGACAAUCCUAGAGCCGUUCUUUGAGGGCUUCUGGCGUGUGCGUCGCCUUGCCGCGGAGCGCCAAACAUCAGGAAGUCUUGUAGCGACGACGGUGGAGAUUGCGAAGAAGCUGGGAAGCGUUGAUGUGCUCGUGAAGUUAUCACCAGACAUGAAGGACGAGAGCGAGGAGUACCAGCGCAUGGUGCUGACGGCCAUCAAGAAGGUCGUGGACGCCACCGGCAUGGAUGCGGCCCCCGACACGCUCGUCACCUUCGUCCUCGACGGCGCCAUAGCCGCCGUGCGCCAGGAUGAGCUCGGCACGAGCAAGUUGGUCAUGAAUGUGCUUGCGACUAUCUGCAACGCACUGGCGGCGCGGUUGCGGCCGUACCUGAAGCAGGUGUUCGACCUCAUCAAGCGGCGCCGCGAGAAUCGCGAGGCUUCGAUGCGAGCGCAGACGGCCGACCUCGUCUCGCGCAUUGCUCACACCGUCAUGCUGGCGGACGGCGCCGUGUUCCUGCAGGACCUGGGGCUGAGCCUGUACGAGCGGCUCGAGGACCCGGAUGCGCGGGCGCUGAGCGCGAACUUGCGCGCGGUACGCUCCAUCUUAGGCGAGCUGGGCUCCCGCCGCUUCAAGCCCUCGGUGCGCGAGCUUCUGAAGCGGCUCACCUUCGUCAUCAAGAGCCGCAACAGCCACGUGCAGAACGGCGCCAUUGCCCUGAUCGAGGACAUUGCGACCAACUACGACACGGAUGUCGACGCGAUUCACCUGCACCAGCUGGCGACCCGUGGACUCUUCGAGCUGCUCGACUCCCCGCAGCGGGCGACGCGACACGCGUGCGCGCGCACCUUUGGCGUCAUCGCCAAGAAAAUUCGCCCCUUCGCCAUCAUCCUCGAGCUGGUCGACAACUUUCGCCAAGACAAGCGGCAGAUUCGCAUCUGCACGGCCGUGGCCCUGAGCGCCAUCGCGAAGGAGUGCGGCCCCUUCACCAUCAUUCCCUACCUCCUGAACGAGUACAAGAUCAGCGAGGGGAAGCAGGUGGCGGUCAUUGUGCAGCACUCGGUGCUCAAGGCGAUCCGGUAUAUUUUCGAGGCCAUCGGUUCGAUCGGCAAGGAGUACGUCUAUCCAAUGAUCCCGCUGCUGGAGCGCGCCUUGACGGAGACGAACAUACAGAUGCGACGCAUGGCCGUGGAGGCCUGCCGCGCCAUUCUGCUCUCCGUGGCCGGCAACGACGGCUUUGAGGACAUCGCGCUGCACCUGCUGAAUUUUGUCCACCCGAACAUUGUGGAGCUGCUGGCUAAGAAUGAGGUCAAGAUCGGCGAGGAGCGCCUCAAGAUGGUGACGGCCGUCGUGAGCUACUACGAGGCGGCGCGGGUGGUGAUCGAGCCGGGGAAGCUGCUGCAGUACCUCUUGCAGGGCCUGUUCCACCCAGCGCGCAAGGUGCGCGACAUCUACCGGCGAACUUACAACCUGAUCUACGUCGGCAGCCCAGAGCGCCUCGUCCCGUACUACCCACGCAUUGAGAACGACGCCUCACAUACGUACGUGCGCCAUGAGCUGGAAGUGCUUCUCUAACAAACUGCAGCCCCCCCACCCCCUCCACACACACACACACACACACACACGCACGCACGCACGCAAACCCAGCGCAAGCGAGCAAGAGAGGCGGGACGUGCAUACUUAAGCUCUUCGGCACAGUUGUUGACGAGUGCGUGCGUGCGAGGGGGAGGAGGCUACGCAUGAGGCUGCAGUUCAGAGCCUCGAGGGCGGCUGUGUCGUGCGGGAGAGGGUAUGAGUGUGUGGCCAUCUUUUCUCUGCGGGUAACAGAAUGCUGUCUGGCGUGCGCACGCGCGAGCACGUAUGGCAUACGCGCUGGCACCGCUAACUCGAAUGGCAGAAAUGCAGCAGAAUAAAAGCAGGCGAGGGUAGGCGUCGACGCACGCGUGUGCACAUGCAUACGUGCCACGUGGCAGCGUGUCGAAGUGCCUUGUCGUGGGGGAGGGGCUGUCGAGGCCCGCUACUUGAAACACGUGCACAGGUGUACGACCGGACUUCACGGACAGGCGCACCGAACGGUGCAAGGCUGCGCGGAGGCGGACGGCCGGUGUGGAAAUGAGAGGCAUUCCACUAGCGCUGCGCUUUGAAUGUGCGGGGGGGGGUCGGGCAGGCAGCGAGACGCGGGUGCUGCGCCGAUGAGUGAUGCUCCUCGCCGCCCGUAUGUAUUCGCGCGUGUGGGUGUGCGUUCCUCGUGCGACGAAGCCUUUCUGUCGUUGUGUGUGUUGACGAGUACUCGCCGCCAUCAAGCCGCACUUCUCCACAGUGUCGUUCCUUGCCCUCCUCCCUCUCCGUCUCUAACCCAACCCGGCGCAACCAAUCACACAUAUCCAAUGCACGGGGGGCUGCGAGAG